AACUAAGGUGUUCACAUCUAUGACUUUGCCACACAGUUGCAAAGCCAUAGGAUGUAAAUGAGUAUACAAAAAGAAAGUACUACCCAACAAUGAGGUCCAAUAUAAAGCAAGAUUAAUAGCACAAGGUUUUUCACAAAAGAAAAAUAUGCACUAUGAUGAAAAUCUCACCAACUGUGAAGAGUGAAAGCAUAAGGUUGGCACUAGUGUUGGCAGUGGCACAUGACCAUAAAAUUUGGCAUUUUGAUAUAACCACAGCAUUCCUCAAUGAAGAAUUAAAGGAAGAAAUUUACAUGGUUCAAGCACCAGGAUAUGAAAGUAAAAAGCCUAACACUGUGUAUAAAUUGAACAAGGCCAUUUAUGGGCUCAAGCAGUCAGUCAGGAAUUGGACUAUCUGUUUAGAUACAGCAUUGAAGGGUCCUGGGUUCAACAGUUGUAAGGCUGAUGGUUGCAUAUAUACUGGAAAGUUACAAAGUGGGGAUUGUCAUUUGUUAGCAUUUGUGGGUGAUCUUUGUUUUAUUGCAAAAGAUGUGUCA